CUGCGGUGCAUUAGCUAGUUGGUAAGGUAACGGCUUACCAAGGCGAUGAUGCAUAGCCGAGUUGAGAGACUGAUCGGCCACAAUGGAACUGAGACACGGUCCAUACUCCUACGGGAGGCAGCAGUAGGGAAUCUUCCACAAUGGGCGCAAGCCUGAUGGAGCAACACCGCGUGAGUGAAGAAGGGUUUCGGCUCGUAAAGCUCUGUUGUUGGAGAAGAACGUGCGUGAGAGUAACUGUUCACGCAGUGACGGUAUCCAACCAGAAAGUCACGGCUAACUACGUGCCAGCAGCCGCGGUAAUACGUAGGUGGCAAGCGUUAUCCGGAUUUAUUGGGCGUAAAGCGAGCGCAGGCGGUUGCUUAGGUCUGAUGUGAAAGCCUUCGGCUUAACCGAAGAAGUGCAUCGGAAACCGGGCGACUUGAGUGCAGAAGAGGACAGUGGAACUCCAUGUGUAGCGGUGGAAUGCGUAGAUAUAUGGAAGAACACCAGUGGCGAAGGCGGCUGUCUGGUCUGCAACUGACGCUGAGGCUCGAAAGCAUGGGUAGCGAACAGGAUUAGAUACCCUGGUAGUCCAUGCCGUAAACGAUGAGUGCUAGGUGUUGGAGGGUUUCCGCCCUUCAGUGCC
rnacentral:rRNA from 1 species